rnacentral:rRNA from 1 species
CCUACGGGUGGCAGCAGUGAGGAAUAUUGGUCAAUGGCCGGAAGGCUGAACCAGCCACGCCGCGUGAAUGACGAAGGUGCCAAGCAUUGUAAACUUCUUUUGUCAAGGGACAAAAUCAGGCUCGAGAGCCUGACCGAUGGUACUUGAAGAAACAGCAUCGCCUAACUCCGUGCCAGCAGCCGCGGUAAUGCGAAGGAUGCGAGCGUUAUCCGGAUUUAUUGGGUUUAAGGGGUGCGUAGGGGGGUUGUUAAUUCAACGGUAAAAGCCCGGGCCUCAGCGCAGUCGAGCCGUUGAAACUGGCUGUCUUGAGAGGUGGAGAGGUAUGCGGAAUGCGCAGUGUAGCGGUGAAAUGCGUAGAUAUUGCGCAGAACUCCGAUUGCGAAGGCAGCAUACCGGCGGCGAUCUGACGCUGAGGUACGAAAGCGUGGGUAUCGAACAGGAUUAGAUACCCGUGUAGUC